UUAGGAAUAUUGGGCAAUGGAGGGAACUCUGACCCAGCAACGCCGCGUGAAGGAAGAAGGUUUUCGGACUGUAAACUUCUGAUCUAAGGGAAAAAGAAAGUGAUGGUACCUUAGGAGAAAGCCACGGCUAACUACGUGCCAGCAGCCGCGGUAAUACGUAGGUGGCGAGCGUUGUCCGGAAUGACUGGGCGUAAAGGGAGCGUAGGUGGCAAUUUAAGUUAGAUGUGAAAGCCCAAGGCUCAACCUUGGAAUUGCAUUUAAAACUGGAUAGCUAGAGUACAGGAGGGGUAAGCGGAAUUCCUAGUGUAGCGGUGGAAUGCGUAGAUAUUAGGAAGAACACCGGAGGCGAAAGCGGCUUACUGGACUGCAACUGACACUGAGGCUCGAAAGCGUGGGGAGCAAACA
rnacentral:rRNA from 1 species